GCAGCCGCCGCGGUAAUACGGAGGGUGCAAGCGUUAAUCGGAAUUACUGGGCGUAAAGCGCACGCAGGCGGUCUGUCAAGUCAGAUGUGAAAUCCCCGGGCUUAACCUGGGAACUGCAUUUGAAACUGGCAGGCUAGAGUCUUGUAGAGGGGGGUAGAAUUCCAGGUGUAGCGGUGAAAUGCGUAGAGAUCUGGAGGAAUACCGGUGGCGAAGGCGGCCCCCUGGACAAAGACUGACGCUCAGGUGCGAAAGCGUGGGGAGCAAACAGGAUUAGAUACCCCUGUAGUCCCUGUCUCUUAUAC
rnacentral:rRNA from 1 species